GUGCUCACUUUGCCAGCACAUAUACUAAAAUUGGAACGAUACAGAGAAGACCAGCAUGGUCCCUGCUCAAGAACGACAUGCAAAUUCUUGAAGCUUUCCAUAUUUUU
ensembl:snRNA U6 U6 spliceosomal RNA